AUCCUGCCUCUGCAGAGCAGGCAGCGAGCACGCACCUGCAGCUCCGGUUUUGCCUCUUGCUGAGGUCACCAGUUUGUCAUCCGCAGCCCUGAAUGCUGCGCAGCAAGGAGGAGCACGUCUGCGAGUGCAUUCCUGCAGAAGAGGGGAAAUGCAGGGUGGAGCAGCAACCAGCAGCUGACACUGUUUGCUACGCACUUGCUCACCACGAGGCUCAGGACGCUGCCCGCUCCUUGAAUGUUUCCUUGAUUACUUAUUCCCAGCAUACUCACACACACAAACACACACUCACCCGCUUCUCUCAGAAGACUGGAAGGACGGGCUACCAGGAAAACAAUAGCAUUUCUCCCACUCGCAGCUGUGUGACAUUUGUUUUUGUUUCUCCAGGUGGCUUUUCUGUGCUAGCAGAACAUCUCACUCCUCAGAUUUUGACUUCUCUUGCCUCUUCUUGUCGGUGUUGGACACGGCCAUCAGUAGACACAGUUCUGAGCAAUCACCGAGGAAGGUCAGAGAAAUGCCCCUUUUCCCUCCGCUUUCUUUUUCAGUCUGGAAGCCGUCAGCAAGGCCUCAUGCAUCCCUCUGUUUGAAUUCCUACAAAGAUGGAGUUUGAACCUUUUCAGACCUUUAGUAGCUAAUAAUAACUGGGACACUGGUCACAUCUCAGCCCUCGGAGUGAGCCUGUUCUUUGCAGGUUUUUCUUAUGCACUGUGGUAAUUGUGUCAGAACUCAAGGCAGUCCCACCGGUGUUCAGGUUUCAUCUGCCAUUCCCAGAGGAUUUCAUUACUCCCGCACAACCCUUUUUUCCUAGCAAGAUUUCACAUUGCCAGCGUGGACUUACCAAAUUGAUUCCCCGGAAGAAAAUAUCACGAUUAUAUUCACAAAGCUGAGAGGAAGACAGCCACUUUUUAUUCGCUCAUAAAGGAUGUGGGAGUCCUGGGUUUAAUUUCCUCCUCUGCCUGGGGGAACUAGAACCAGCAUCACUUAUCUCCCAAGAGAAUGCCAUAAGGUUGUGCUGUGCUGCAUACUAAGGUGGGUUGUUCUUACUCCUCACCACUUAUGUGUCCUGAUCUGUGCGGAAGGUCUUUCCAGACCCCAGUAGAGACACUCAUGGACACAAUUCACCUGGCUUCCCCAGUCUGUGCUAAUGAGUACUGCGCUACUAAGGAAUAUGAAAGUGCCAUUGGCAGAGCCUCUCCCAGGGUACCCCUGCUCUUGUGACUGUGGUAUUCUCCUGGAAAAGAAGAAGGGUAGACAGGGAAGCAGAAGAGGGCAUUGAACAUCCUACGCGAGCACAUCAGGCAAACGCAUGUGCUAAAGUUCACAGAGGUGAGAAAGUGCAGCUCAGUCUGCUGGAGAAAAUUACUUGGAGAAGUCAGCACAAGUUAAAGAUGGGAAGACCAAAUUAGUUCAAUCAGAAAGUCUUCCUAAUAUUAACCAAGGACUGUGCUGACAUCAGGCCUGAUGUACAAGAUAAAUGCCAAAAUCAAUGGACCAAAACUCAUGUGCCAGGAGCUAAAGCCAACUGGUGACUGGUGGCAUGUACAUCAUCCUCUGGGGUACAUCCAUUUUGAUACUGAUCCUAGAAUAGGUGGACAGAAAGGAGAAAUGCUGACAGCUGUCGUUGUCAACUUCGAGAUCUAAGUCUCUGCUGUGACACUGUUGGUAUUUCAAGGAACAUUUGGACGUUGUGUUGAAGGACAUGGUUUAGUGAGAACCACUGGUGACAGGUGAAUGGUUGGACUGGAUGAUCCUGUGGGUGUUUUUCAACCUUUGUGAUUCUAUGAUUCUACACUUACUUGAUCUGGUCAGACCUUCUGGUGAGUUUCUGGUGAGGAGAUACAUGGGAGUCAUCGCUAUGUCCACCAAUUUCAGUGCAGUCCUGGAAACCCACUUGGAAGGGAAGACUUGGGGUCCUGAAGCCACCCUUCUCUCAGUAGCUUUGCAGUCUUUUCACAUGCUUCUCUGCCUUUUCUUUCUUUUACCUUCCUUUUAAUCAAACUAUCCUAGAUAGGAGGGUACGGGUUGUACAACACAGCUGUGAACUGCAAUCAAGGAGACAACCAAAAGCAAUGUCUAAAUGAGACAGACGCUGAUAUAAAUCCCCUUGAUCAGAGAGGGGCUGAUAAGUCCAUGUGUUGUGCUUGUCUUUUUCUAGCAGUGAGGCUGCAAGUAAAAGUCAACACCUGAAGAGGAAGUAAUAAUUUUUGUCUUUGCUCUCCUUUCCUCUCCCCUCCUGCAUGCCUGUGUCUUCAAAUGAGCAAAGCAGAAUCCCAAAAUGAGUACUAACAGCAGAUCCAGUCUAUCUCAAUGAGUGUCUCCCAAAAAACAGUGAGUGCUGCUAUGACCUUAAAUAAAGGGAGGGAAGCACUGCUACAAAAACUGUUGACAGCUAAGGGAAGAGGGAUAAUGGACACUUUUAAAGCAUAAAGUCUUAUUUUUCAAGUGCUUAAACUGUUUUUUCUCCUUUUUUGUGUAUCUUUAAUUAAAGAUUAAAAGACUUCUAUUGGUGAUUGUUUGCCAUGGUAACCAAGUAGGCUGAGGUCUCUGUAUUCAAAACCCCAAACCUUUUUAAGUGUUUAAUGUUGCAGAGUGUCUGGGUCGUGUUAGCAUCUUUCACUCAUUGAGCCCACUCCUUCCCCAGAACCUCACAGGACUGUGCCCCGUUGGCCACCAGACUAGAGGGACAGCCUCUCAGCUCCACUAUCCCCCUGUGAGUGGGAUCCCUUCUUCUCACUUCUCUUUUGGGUGCUUGAAUGUUUUGCUUUCAAUUAAAUGCAAUUUUCACUGUGAAAUACAGCUAUUCCUUUGCAGUUUUUCAGCAAGAGACAUAAAACCUAACCAGACUCA